rnacentral:rRNA from 1 species
AUCGGGGCAGGGUGAGUCGACCCCUAAGGCGAGGCCGAAAGGCGUAGUCGAUGGGAAACAGGUUAAUAUUCCUGUACUUGGUGUUACUGCGAAGGGGGGGACGGAGAAGGCUAUGUCGGCCGGGCGACGGUUGUCCCGGUUUAAGCGUGUAGGCUGACUUUCCAGGCAAAUCCGGAAAGUUAAGGCUGAGGCGUGAUGACGAGGCACCACGGUGCUGAAGUGACAAAUGCCCUGCUUCCAGGAAAAGCCUCUAAGCAUCAGGUAACAUCAAAUCGU